GAUGAACGCUAGCUACAGGCUUAACACAUGCAAGUCGAGGGGAAACGAUAUUGGAAGCUUGCUUCCGAUAGGCGUCGACCGGCGCACGGGUGAGUAACGCGUAUCCAACCUGCCCACCACUUGGGGAUAACCUUGCGAAAGUAAGACUAAUACCCAAUGAUAUCUCUAGAAGACAUCUGAAAGAGAUUAAAGAUUUAUCGGUGAUGGAUGGGGAUGCGUCUGAUUAGCUUGUUGGCGGGGUAACGGCCCACCAAGGCGACGAUCAGUAGGGGUUCUGAGAGGAAGGUCCCCCACAUUGGAACUGAGACACGGACCAAACUCGUACGGGAGGAAGCAGUGAGGAAUAGUGGUCAAUGGGCGAGAGCCUGAACCGGCCGAGUAGCGUGCAGGAUGACGGCCCUAUGGGUUGUAAACUGCUUUUAUAAGGGAAUAAAGUGAGAGUCGUGACUCUUUUUGCAUGUACCUUAUGAAUAAGGACCGGCUAAUUCCGUGCCAGCCGCCGCGGUAAAAC
rnacentral:rRNA from 1 species